rnacentral:lncRNA from 1 species
CCAGGUUUGGAUUCUGUUGAAUCCAAGGCAGAAGUGAAACUUUUCCAUGGUUACUGUGGACAGCUGAGAGAAAAACCAGCCCUCAUGUUCAGCAUUUCUGAGUCAGAGCCACCAGCUGUAUCCUGGAUGAUGGAAACCCUCUGCAAAUGGCUCGUGGCACAAAACAUUGGAUAUACCAGCUUUGUGGGCUUCAAGGGGAGCCAGGGAGAACAAGGAGCUAUUGUAAUUAGGACAGGCUAGGCCAUUUUCACAUGAAGCAGCUUUCUGAAAAGCUACGGCAACAUUCAAGGCUGGGACAGAGAACUGCAGAGAAAGCCCAAACAAGGAAGAACGGAACUGGACACACUGAUAUCUCCAGGUUUCUCAGGGGCCAAGUCAGGCACUGACUCACUGGUCUCACACAUUGUGUGCUCUGAAGUUGUGAUGAUGUUACAACUCAGAGCAGGACAAGAUGUGAGAUCAGCCACGUCUGAUCCUGCCCUCUCCAUAAAUCCCAUGAGACAAGGGCGAUGGCAAGGCUGGGCCUUCACUGCCUCUACAACAACUUUUUAAUUAACACACAGGGAAAAAGGCAGACACCUUGCUGAAAUAUGGCAUAUGGAGAAAUCAAUGGGACAUAUUUAUUUCCCAGCAGUCAGAUACUGCAGAUACAUUCCUUUUCAUUAUUGCCUCUGUCCCCUCCCUCUUCCAAAAUAAAGGCAUUUGUAAAAAUAGAAAGGGGGAGGGC